GGGGUUGUGGCUCAGUGGUAGAGUGCUCGCCUCGCAUGUGUGCGGCCCUGGGUUCAAUCCUCAGCACUACA
rnacentral:tRNA from 1 species